rnacentral:misc_RNA from 1 species
CAAGGAUUCACCUUCGCCUCGAACAAGCUACCUAAUGCCGGCGGAUGAUAAUGCAGCCCCACGGGAGCCUUUUCGUCUUGUGAACUGCGACUGCCGUUUGUAUACAUCCUUCUCCUUCCGUCUGGCAAAUGCAUCUUCGCUUGGCUAGGCGGACCGUGCCACAAAUAAGGUGUACGAUCAAUUCCUGGAAUAUAUCCCACAUACGGAGAAUCGAGAAAUACACUGAUGCAUCAAUUCACCGCUACUUUUCAUCGAAUGAUGCCCUGCGUUUAUUGUUGUGAAAAGUUCAUCGUAUUUUUUCAAGACGCGAAAACUUAUCGAAACAGAG